UGUUGCCUGUAGCAGGGAUAACCCCUCAUA
rnacentral:piRNA from 1 species